rnacentral:rRNA from 1 species
UGGGGAAUUUUGGACAAUGGGCGAAAGCCUGAUCCAGCAAUGCCGCGUGUGUGAAGAAGGCCUUCGGGUUGUAAAGCACUUUUGUCCGGAAAGAAAUCCUUGGCUCUAAUACAGUCGGGGGAUGACGGUACCGGAAGAAUAAGCACCGGCUAACUACGUGCCAGCAGCCGCGGUAAUACGUAGGGUGCAAGCGUUAAUCGGAACUACUGGGCGUAAAGCGUGCGCAGGCGGUUUUGUAAGACGGAUGUGAAAUCCCCGGGCUUAACCUGGGAACUGCAUUCGUGACUGCAAGGCUAGAGUAUGGCAGAGGGGGGUAGAAUUCCACGUGUAGCAGUGAAAUGCGUAGAGAUGUGGAGGAAUACCGAUGGCGAAGGCAGCCCCCUGGGCCAAUACUGACGCUCAUGCACGAAAGCGUGGGGAGCAAACAGGAUUAGAUACCCUGGUAGUCCACGCCCUAAACGAUGUCAACUAGCUGUUGGGGAUUCAUUUCCUUAGUAACGUAGCUAACGCGUGAAGUUGACCGCCUGGGGAGUACGGUCGCAAGAUUAAAACUCAAAGGAAUUGAC